rnacentral:rRNA from 1 species
UGACAGUACUCCUACGGGGAGGCAGCAGUGGGGGAAUAUUGCACAAUGGGCGCAAGCCUGAUGCAGCCAUGCCGCGUGUGUGAAGAAGGCCUUCGGGUUGUAAAGCACUUUCAGUUGUGAGGAAAGGUUAGUAGUUAAUACCUGCUAGCUGUGACGUUAGCAACAGAAGAAGCACCGGCUAACUCCGUGCCAGCAGCCGCGGUAAUACGGAGGGUGCGAGCGUUAAUCGGAAUUACUGGGCGUAAAGCGUACGCAGGCGGUUUGUUAAGCGAGAUGUGAAAGCCCCGGGCUCAACCUGGGAACUGCAUUUCGAACUGGCAAACUAGAGUGUGAUAGAGGGUGGUAGAAUUUCAGGUGUAGCGGUGAAAUGCGUAGAGAUCUGAAGGAAUACCGAUGGCGAAGGCAGCCACCUGGGUCAACACUGACGCUCAUGUACGAAAGCGUGGGGAGCAAACGGGAUUAGAUACCCUGGUAG